ACGUACCCUUCGGUUCGGAAUAACUCAGGGAAACUUGAGCUAAUACCGGAUACGCCCUUUUGGGGAAAGGUUUACUGCCGAAGGAUCGGCCCGCGUCUGAUUAGCUUGUUGGUGGGGUAACGGCCUACCAAGGCGACGAUCAGUAGCUGGUCUGAGAGGAUGAUCAGCCACACUGGGACUGAGACACGGCCCAGACUCCUACGGGAGGCAGCAGUGGGGAAUAUUGGACAAUGGGCGCAAGCCUGAUCAGCCAUGCCGCGUGAGUGAUGAAGGCCUUAGGGUUGUAAAGCUCUUUUGUCCGGGACGAUAAUGACGGUACCGGAAGAAUAAGCCCCGGCUAACUUCGUGCCAGCAGCCGCGGUAAUACGAAGGGGGCUAGCGUUGCUCGGAAUCACUGGGCGUAAAGGGCGCGUAGGCGGCCGAUUAAGUCGGGGGUGAAAGCCUGUGGCUCAACCACAGAAUUGCCUUCGAUACUGGUUGGCUUGAGACCGGAAGAGGACAGCGGAACUGCGAGU
rnacentral:rRNA from 1 species